rnacentral:rRNA from 1 species
GACGAACGCUGGCGGCGUGCUUAACACAUGCAAGUCGAACGGAAAGGCCCUGCUUUUGUGGGGUGCUCGAUUGGCGAACGGGUGAGUAACACGUGAGUAACCUCCCCUUGACUUUGGGAUAACUUCAGGAAACUGGGGCUAAUACCGGAUAGGAGCUCCUGCUGCAUGUGGUGGGUUGGUAAGUUUCGGCGGUGGGGGAUGGACUCGCGGCUUAUCCGCUUGUUGGUGUAGUAGUUGAUUACCAAGGCUUCGACGGGUAGCCGGCCUGGGAGGGUGACCAGCCACAAUGGGACUGAGAGACGGCGCAGAAUCCUACGGGAGGCAGUAGGCGGGAAUAUUGCAGAGUGGGGGGAAGCCUGAUGCAGAAACGCCGCGUGCGGGAUGCCGGCCUUCGGGUUGUAAACCGCUUUCGACUGUGACGUAGAGUGAGUGACGGUAAUGGGUAAGGAAGCACCGGCUAACUACGUG